AGUGAACGCUGGCGGUAGGCCUAACACAUGCAAGUCGAACGGCAGCACAGUAAGAGCUUGCUCUUGCGGGUGGCGAGUGGCGGACGGGUGAGGAAUACAUCAGACUCUACAUUUUCGUGGGGGAUCACGUAGGGAAACUUACGCUAAUACCGCAUACGCCCUACGGGUGAAAGCAGGGGAUCUUCGGACCUUGCGCGAUUGAAUGAGCCGAUGUCGGAUUAGCUAGUUGGAGGGGUAAAGGCCCACCAAGGCGACGAUCCGUAGCUGGUCUGAGAGGAUGAUCAGCCACACUGGAACUGAGACACGGUCCAGACUCCUACGGGAGGCAGCAGUGGGGAAUAUUGGACAAUGGGCGCAAGCCUGAUCCAGCCAUACCGCGUGUGUGAAGAAGGCCUUCGGGUUGUAAAGCCCUUUUGUUGGGAAAGAAAAGCAGCCGGUUAAUACCCCGCUGUUCUGACGGUACCCAAAGAAUAAGCACCGGCUAACUUCGUG
rnacentral:rRNA from 1 species